rnacentral:lncRNA from 1 species
CCCUGCCCACACACUGGAUCCGGAAGAUCAUGAUGUCGGUGACGAUGCCGAUUGGCGAGUCCCUAACGACGUCAAUUUCUACGCUGCCUGGGCUGCGCGACAAAUCUUCAGAGUUGGCGACACACUCGGUAAAUCUGUUUUAACAUAACUAUAGAUCCAAACAAUAGGCCAGAGUUUAAUUAACCCUUUAUCCAUCAAUUCUAUUAUAUAAUAUGCAUAUAUAUUUUCUGCAGAGUUCGAUUUUACCACCGGAGAGCAGGAUGUUGCGGUCGUCACAAAGGCAGCUUUCGACGCUUGCAACCCUUCUAAUCCUAUCUCUCUUUUCAAAACUGGACCUGCAAAGAUUUUCCUCAACACCACCGGUGCCCACUACUACAUCUGCACGUUUCCAAACCAAUGUACCAGAGGCCAGAAACUAGCCAUUAAUGUCGUCGGUGCUAAUGGUCCGGUCACCCCGACGCCGGCUACCCCUGCUUCUCCUGGGACACCAACUCCCACUGCGCCUGCUACUCCGACUACUCCAGCUUCUGAACAGGCUAACUCCACGAGGCCUGGGACAUCCACUGUGCCCAGCUCUGCCUCUGCUCGAUCUAUAGCUACUGUCUUGGUUAUCUGGAUGCCUUUUGUGAUAGGGU